AAACGGCUCCUAGUAUCCGGAGGUCUGUGGUGCCCUGAUGGAGAUGCUGGGGAAGCCUGGUGGUGUCUGUGAGGCCAGUCUGUCUGGACUCCACCCUUGUACUGUCUUUUGAUGCCAGGACUAUGGGUAUGUCUACACUACCUGCUGGAUCGGUGGGUAGCGAUUGAUCUAUCGGGGAUCGAUUUAUCGUGUGUAGUGUAGACGCGAUAAAUCGAUCCCCAAUCGCUCUCCCAUUGACUGCUGAACUCCAGCUCGGCGAGAGGCGGAAGCAAAGUCGACGGGUGAGCCGUGGCCGUUGAUCCCGCGCUGCGAGGACGCGAA